GUAAAUUUACACAGACAUUAAAUUUCGUUCUAUUCAUUUUAGACAUAUAAUGCUAAGCUGAUUUCUUUUUUUUAUAGCGCACUGAUCGAUAUCUCUGUAAAAUAAUCAUUUUUUUUAACUAGCGGGGCAGUGAAAUCUUUGCUUUGUGCUAAAGUCAACAGUGACAGAGUUUGAGCUCAAAUAAAUGCCGUGAUGUCUGGAGCCCUUUGCAGAAGGCAGAAGGCGAGCUUCUACAAUGGGCUCCUGUGUGGCGUGCCAGCAACAAGCACCCGGCUAUUUUGCACAGGGCUCUGCUGACUGAAGUGAUCCCCACGGCCCGAGUGGAGGAGAGGAGGGAGCAGACGCCUCAGAGGGAAGAGGGAUGACUGCGGAAGAGCUGCACACACACACACACAAACACACACACACACACACACACACACACACACACACCGAAACACUCACACAAUGUCCCUCUCAGUCCUGGGUUGUGACCGGCCCAUGGCAUUGGCCAGACGCACGUGGCUUCCACUUUAAGGAGACUUUUCCACUGCUGCUUCCCUUCUUCCUCCAUCACCCUGCAUCCAGCGACCUGAGAGCACUUUCCAGUCGAUGUACUUGGCCAUAUCUGCGUCUGACCUGUCUGCCAUAUGUAAUAUCAAAGCCUCUGUCAGCACGGAGCUGAAUGGGAACAAAAGAGAGACCUCCAUUAAUGAUUAACUGUUCUAAAAGCCCCGGCUUUUGUAUUCCCAUGGUGCCCAGGCUAUCUGGCCGCCAUGUGACAUGCUCGCAGCAUUUUUCGAGCAGAUUGGGGGAAAGCUAGUGAGCAAACACAGGUGCUUUGGAGCAGCGUUGCCGACGCUGUCAGGGACAACCACAAACAAGAGCAGCUAUGCCUGGCUAAAUGAAUCCCCACCCCUCCCGACGCCAUCACCACCUCCGCCCCCCCCCCCAACCCCUUCUCUCUCUCUCACUAGCUAACUUGUUUGCUAGCUCCUAUAGCGUUCUCCCCGUAAAGGAGAGCCCCCACCACCACCACUGACCCCCCCACAAGUCCAACGUCCGCUCCAGCCGCGCUCCACAACUUCUCACACCCUCCACAGAAACAAACAAAUAAAAGUGAGCACGGCCGGCCACUUCUUUGAGGUGAUGGCAUUUGCUGUGGUCAUGACUAGUGGGAGAGCAAACAAAUUAAUGGUGUUCGAGUUUUCACUUUCAAACCAAACUAAAUGUCUUUUAGUUCAAGUGGGGCAAUUCCACUGACCCCGGUGUCACCCGCUGUGUAAGGGUUGCACACUCUUGCACUUGAAAUGCAGUGAGGAGGAGGCCAUAAGAAAAUUAAACGGAACUAGAGUCCUGGCCUACGUGAGCUCGGUGUGGUGACACCUGACAAAUGAACGUCGGAUAAAUUGUGUGUGUACUAAACACUGCUUAUUUCUGCCCUUGAUGUAUUUUGACCACAAACUUUAGCAGGGGGUACGUGGGGCACUUAACCUUUUCAUCCGGGCUGACUGAUUGUUCCCAGUGACUGUGGGGGUGCCGUGUCACUCAACUUUGAUAAGACAAUCAGAUGAUAGGCCGGGCGUUAUCUUAACACGGCUUUCCGGCUGGGGGACAAAUGAACAGCGUGCGAUAACAAGAACAAAAAGCUCGCCUCUCGUUGGCCGGCUCCUGUGAAGAAAGGGAAAAUUAUCAGGGUGGAAAAUUCACAAUAGGUGCAGUUUAUUUCAUUUUCAAUUUUCUCCUUACCCCAGGUCACGAGAAGAGCUUUUUUUCCCUCCAUCGCUCAAAUAUUUAUAUUGUCUCCAGUUGGCCUUUUGGUUUCACAGUCUGCAAUUACCAGAGCCUGUAAAGCAGUUAUCUCUAGAGGGAUGAUAAAAAUGUUUCUAAACAAACUAUUUAAAUCAAUGGGAGAGGAAAUUAAGUUGUAAAAGUGAGAGACAGAAGACAAAGACAGGAAGAGAGUAAAAAUACACCCUGUCUUUUUUUUGGGUAUAUAUUGAAAAUGAUAGAAAAAUGCUGUGUGUGUAAGAGGAAGAGGUGGAAGCAUGGGGAAGGAGGAAGGUCAGAAGUAGCUUCCACAGAGACCAUGUGUCUGAUCAGUAAAACACAGCUUGUGUCUGGGUUCUCUGACGUUCGCAGGCUAAUUCUCCGAGUCAGAGGAGGGUGUGUAUGCUCAAGGAUUCACUCAGGGUUCUGUUUGCUCUAUUCCCGAAAAAUGACUGGAAGAAAUAUUAGUGCCCUGCAAGGAAAUGUUAGGACUUUGUCAGAAGUAUAAAAAAAACGUUGGAACUUUGUAGAAAAUGUAUAAAUAAAAAAUUGUCGUUGCAA